GAGCUCAAUCCCAGGACACUGGGAUCACGACCCGAGCUGAAGGCAGAUGCUUAAUGACUGAGCCACCCAGGCAACCAGUGAGUGCCUGUUGUUUUGUCUGCACAACAUACAAUCCUGUCUGGUAAGGCAUCUGACCUGUGAGCAUUCUCCACCCCCAGGCCAUGGUGUGAGGAUGGAGCCAAACUCACCAGUCUAGAGACUUACCUUAAAGCCCUGGAUGUUCCCUGGGCUUCAGUUUUCUGAUGUCACAUGAAGUCUCAAUAACAUCCUGGAGUAGAUCUAUUUAAAAGAUUGAGCAAAAGCAAGGAGCAGUCAUUAGGAUUCAGCUUGGUCUCUUCAGUGGUAGGACAUUUUGUAAAGUCCCUUGGACAUGGAGUCUGGAGUAUAGGCUUUGAGUUAAGACACUAUUAUUGACCAUCUUUCUAACCUGGAUACUUGAGUACUUGUGUGAGUACUCAUGCCUCUUCAUUGUGCGUGCUUGUGCAGUACUCUCACCUGAUUUCCCCAUCAGUGACAUGCUGUGUUGUACAACAUUCAGCAUGUAUUUCCAACUCCAUAGUGCAGUGAUGCAAAAUCAUGCUGACGGAUCCAGGGAUUAGUGUACUGGAUUUCAGACAAGCGUCUUACAAAGUUUUCAUGGUGUUGUUCAGGAGAAAGGUGAGAAAAAGAGAAAGAGAAAUUCAGUAUCAGUGACUAAAGGUGGGUGCAACAUGUCUACAAGAAUUCACAGAGGUCAGCAUUCCCAGAGGUGACACAUGACCAUUCAAAAGACUGUUCCAUUACCUUGGACUUUAUCAAUAGCUGAAAGUAACUGAAGGCAUUCUUACCAACUUUCAGAUGACAAAGAACUGGGAAGAAUGGCCAAUACAUAAUAACAGAAAUAAUAAGUUUCAAACAAAUUUAAUAUUCUGAAUUGAUGGUUUAGAGCUACGCCUAUCUAUCUAUCUAUCUAUCUAUCUAUCAUCUAUCUAUCUAUCACUAGCUUCUAUCUAAAGGAAUAGUAUCCAGCAGGUUAAGAAAAAAGUCAACUACACAAAUGUGGUUCGUGUGAAAAAGACCUGGAAGGUUUGAGAUACUACAAGCUGAAUACAAAUCAUCAGUAAUACAAAUCAUCAGUAACUGUUCAAAAUGCAAAUGCAGUGCUAGUUUGCAUUAACAGCUAAGGAGAGCCUUGUUCAAUGGACAUAAGAGCUUGCUUCACUGGCCACCCCCUUUUGUAAUAUUGGGACUUAUCUUGAGGAGGAGAUCAGAAUACGAUGGACAAGGUCUAGAAAUCACCCAUUCGCUUGCUCAUUCAGGUAUACAUACCUGAUUGACUAUAGCCUUGAACCCUUUUUGCAAUGGAGUAGAGGUAUAAAUAAAUAAAUAAGAGAAAAUACAUAAAAUAUGUCAGAAACUGUCCUGGAAGAAUGGUGUUCAGAGAGGAAAGACAGCCUGGAGAAGGGAAAGGCCAACAACAUGAGGAUUCAGGCCCCACCACAAAGCACAAAGUGGCAGAAAGGGAAGGGAGUGUCAGUGAUGGACAUCUGUCAUGGCUUCAACUCUCAGUCCCCAUAAUCAAGGCUAUGACAAGGAUCUUCAUGCACUUUCCCUUAGAGACCAGUGUGAGAAUUUCUCUGCAGGCAUUUCCAGAAAUGUGAUUCCUGGAUCCGAGAUAAGUGCAUUCGACCAAGUACUGCUGGAUUGCCCGCAACAAUGGGGCUGCCCCCAUCUACACUCUCACUGCCAUCACACGACGGUCCUGUAUUCCCUACAACCCUCCUGUGACCUGUCAUCACCCAGCUGUCUAAUUUUUGUCAAGUUGGAUGGGUAUAGUGUCAUAAUUCACCAUAGUUUUUAUUUUAUAUCUCUGAUUAAACAAGUCCCAGCAUUUCUUCAUUUGCUCACCAUUUUGGGUUUCCUCUCGUAUGAGCUGACUAUUCAUACUUUUUGAUCUAUUAAUCGAUUAGGUUUUUUAAAAAAUUAAUUUGAAAAAAUUCCUUAGGCUUUGUAGAUAUUUGCACCAUGUCAGGUUUAGAUAUUUAAAAUGUAUUUUCCAGAUUUGUCGUUUGCCUUUUGUGUCCAUGAUUUUUUUAUUAGGUGGAAAUCCUUAAUUUUGAUAUUGUCAAGGAAGUGUAACUUUGGAUAGUGUCUUCCUGGGAAGAAGAGGUGGAAGUUGGGGAGUGAGUUUUCAUGUGAAGGGCCAUCUUAUCUAAGGAAAGGUUAAAAAUAAUUGAGAUUUUUUUGGGAAGGAGUUCAGGAAAGGAAAGAUAAGAUAUAAAUGGUAAGAUAGCUAUUUUUUUCUAAAGGACUGUAAGUCAAAGAACCUUUUUACUUUGUCCAUCCUCAGGUAGGAAGGAUUUCCCUGUGAGAUGAGCUCAUUGUUCUCUGAGAUGGCCAAGCACAGGAUGGGUGAAUGCCAGAAUGCCCUUGACCAAGGCUCUAUCACUGGAAAAGUCUGGAAACAGUAGUCAACCUGGUAGCAAUGAGUUUCACUAGUACCAGAUUGUAGUUUCUAAAUAUCAUUUCCCAUUAAGAAGACCCAGAGGCCCUUGGAGAAAUGGCAGCUUGUGGUCUAGAGCAAGGGAUUGAGGGAAUGUAAGUUAAUCGCCCCCAUGCACAAGAGAGGCAAUGCGGUGUCGGGACACCAGCCUUAAGCGUCUGACAGCUCAGUGCUCAGCUCAGCCUCUGACAGCUGUGAGACUGUGGGGAGGCUCCUUGACAUAUCUAGACCUCAGUGUUCUCAUCUGUAAAAUGAGCACCACGAAUGUGUCAUCUCCUUCAUUUGCCCUGGUUGCGUUUAAAGAACUUCGAACGUUGCCUGGCAAUAAUAAAGGCUCAAUAUGUGUUGUUUCUCACAGGGCUAGCAACUAGUCAUUUUGAAUGGAAUCCUCUUAAUGGACUGGGAUAAACAAGAGAACGCCUUAAAGAGAACUCUCAUUAUACAGGCACAGCCCCAAGCCAUGUUCCCUUCAGGCGUCUGCUGGCUUCCAGGAUGUCGUGGGCGAGUAACAGGAGAGAUUUGGAAACGCUUCAGCUCUGUACCACCUUGGCACUCUCUUCCGGUUCAGUGUUUCUCGGCUGCUUGAGAAUUCAGGAUGCACGGGCCGUCCACCCGUGUCAACCCCCGGCCCGGCCAGGACCACCUGGGUUGACCAGCCACUUUGACAGAGGCAAUCCGGAAGAGGAGACAAUUUCUCUGCUGAGAGCCACUGCUGUUGGCCUGAAUUCGUCAACCAGGAUUUAUUGGGAGAGCAUGAGGGAAGGAAGGAGGAGGGAGAGAAAUGUACAGAGUCUAUCAAGUAAACACAAGUACGGCUCAGUAGUGCGGGGAGUAUGACAUGCCCAGGAACACACAAAGGAAACCCGGCAUGCUUUAAACUUGGCCUGAUGGAAAUUUCUGUGUCAAGGUGGAUUACAGAGUUUCACAGUCAAAAAGUGUGCCAGGCACCAUCCCGGGGGGCUUUCACAGACAUGGUCCUUUUUAAUCCUCCCAAGAAAUGCUGGUAAGGCCAACCUGUUAUCCUGCGGGAGCCCUCACAAAACCGAGUCUCAGAGGGUCAACUCCACCAAGGCUGCCGAGACUCAGGUCUUCUGGCUACAUGACCGGUGGUUACCCACAUUGCUCAGGAAGAGAAAAAGUACUCGCUUUUUCAAUGUACCUGACACUGAUAUUAGCCAUAGGAAUGUAAUUGUGAAUAGUAGGGGAAACUCAGCGAGAACUUGUUGUACUUCCUUUGCAACUGCUCUAGGAACCUAGAACAAUUCAACAAUAAGAAGUUCAUUUUAAAGAAAGAGGCCACAACCUGGAGGUAUAAAUACUUCCCAAAGGCAUGUCCUGCAGGUGCAUCCCUCCCUGAACCGGCGGGGAGCAGCAUGGUGCGGGCAAGCGUGUGUUACGCAGCUGGUGGUGGUGUCUGUGCAAGGAAGGGGCAUAAAGGAGCUAUGUAGUAAUGGAACACUAUUGGACUUACACUGAAGGCUCAGCGAAGGCUUCUCAGAAAAAAUAGUAUGCCCGAGUCUCAGCUGACUGAUGUCAGCUGGGUGUGCUAGUAAAUUACAAAUGUUAAAAUGUUACGUCUUGGGAUGACUUUCAGUUGGUGGUAUGCCUUUCGACUUUACCUUUUUUUUUUUUUUAGAUUUUAUUUAUUUAUUUAU